UCUCUCACUGCAAAUCCAUUGUAUUCGUAGAAGCCUUUCCUGCUGCAAAUCUUUGCCGAAGGCCGAAGCCGUUCCGCGCAAAUCUCUGGUGUGAAAUCGCCGAAGACAUAAAUCUCCCGUUGUUUUUUAGCUGCUUCUUCCCGCCUCCUCCACCAACAGCAGAUCUUCGUCUCCUUAGCAGCGCACACUUGGGUCUUUGCCGUCAAAGUCGCUUGUCACCAUCAACGUUGCCAUCACCGUCGCCUGGGAAUGCUGUGCUACAGUUUUCAAUUUUGACAUACGGGAUAAAUUGAGAAAUUUCAUGAUUGCUGGGGAACCAAAACCAGAAUUAGUCCGUAUGUUGCUUUGAUCUCUUUGAAAUUAAUUCAUCACAGGAAUGCUGAACUAUGCCACUAGCUCUAUCAUACUCUUGCUCUUGGAAACCAAUUGAAAGACCUCUGCAAAGACAUGGUGAUAGGCUUGAACAAUAGUGUGGACGUGUGGUUGACAUCAGUUAAAAUCACUAUAACAUGAGCUUGGAUGCAAAAAUGGUUUGCUUAAAGCUAAGAAGUUAGCAAAGGUCACUGCUUGUUUUGGAAAACUAAAUAAAUGCUCUGGGAAAACAACAAAAGAAAGGUCUAGCUUACGUUCCUUAUCGUAAUAGCAAAUUGAUGUGUAUUCUUAAAGAUUGCCUGAGUGGUAAUUCUCAUACUAUAAUGAUCAUCACCAUAUCUCCAGCAGAUAGUCAGUAUCACCAUACUGUUAACACUUUGAAGUAUGCUCACUGAACAAAGGAAAUUAAGGCACAUACAUAUUCAGUGUAUUAGGCUCACCAACAAUGAUGGAAUGGUCUGACGGACUUCAACUUGCCAGUUCUACUGGCUACCAGUUUUCCACAGUGUUGAUACCAUCUGCUAGUGAGGACACUAUUAAUCUUAUUACAUCACUUUGCUCAUGGGAUCCCUACAAGAGGCCAACUGUUGUGGAGGUCCUUCAGCAAUCAUCAUCCUUUCUUUCAGAGUUGCUUCUAUGUUCCACAUCUCUGCGGUCUGGUGUAGCCUUCGCAAGAACCACCCAAUCUGGUUGGAGUCUUGUUAUCGGAACACUUCUUCCAUCUGAUCUUUUGUUUCUUAGAUAAUUGCCAAUUACAUAUUAACCUGUGAUUUUCAGAGGAGACUAAUGAGAUUGAGAAUGAUUAGAAAAGAAUUGCUCAAUGCUAAUGACAAGAUUUAGAUGAUACUUUGUAUCCCCUGAGUGCUGGUUUGGUUGUAGCCUGUGGCAAUAACAUUGGAGAUUACAUGGUUGAAAAGUUGGGCAUAGAUCCUGCCAAAAUCCCUAACUUGUGUAAUCUGCUGUACAAGAAUUAUGAGACUAUCUCCUGUUCAUAUUCAAUAGAAAAGAAAUGAAAUGAACCUUAGUUUGGCAGGCAAUUGGCUAUAGUUUUGACUAUAAUGAAUAUUAUAAAUAAGGAUUUUAAUUUCUUUAUUGUUUCAUCAAUUGAUAUGGUAUACUGUUUUAAAGAUCUUGAUUGGUUGUUGUGCAGUUAGGGCAUUAGAUGUAUAUUAUGAACAAGAAUGGAGAGCAGUGAAACGGAAUUUUAUUUUA